UACCAUGCAGUCGAGCGCGAAAGUUUUCGGAUGAGUAGAGCGGCGAACGGGUGAGUAACGCGUGGGAAUCUGCCUGGUAAUGGGGGACAACAUCUCGAAAGGGAUGCUAAUACCGCAUACGCCCUAAGGGGGAAAGUGGGGGAUCUUCGGACCUCACGUUAUCAGAGGAGCCCGCGUCGGAUUAGCUAGUAGGUAGGGUAAAGGCCUACCUAGGCGACGAUCCGUAACUGGUCUGAGAGGAUGAUCAGUCACACUGGAACUGAGACACGGUCCAGACUCCUACGGGAGGCAGCAGUGGGGAAUAUUGGACAAUGGGGGCAACCCUGAUCCAGCCAUGCCGCGUGUGUGAAGAAGGCCUUCGGGUUGUAAAGCACUUUAAGUUGGGAGGAAGGCUUCACGGAUAAUACCUGUGAGGAUUGACGUUACCAACAGAAUAAGCACCGGCUAACUCCGUGCCAGCAGCCGCGGUAAUACGGAGGGUGCAAGCGUUAAUCGGAAUUACUGGGCGUAAAGCGCGCGUAGGCGGCCAUUUAAGCUAGAUGUGAAAGCCCAGGGCUUAACCUUGGAACUGCAUUUAGAACUGGAUGGCUAGAGUAUGGAAGAGGAGUGUGGAAUUUCAGGUGUAGCGGUGAAAUGCGUAGAGAUCUGAAGGAACAUCAGUGGCGAAGGCGACACUCUGGUCCAAUACUGACGCUGAGGUGCGAAAGCGUGGGGAUCAAACAGGAUUAGAUACCCCUGGUAGUCCACGCCGUAAACGAUGUCGACUAGCCGUUGGGCCUCCUUGAGGGGUUAGUGGCGCAGCUAACGCGAUAAGUCGACCCCCUGGGGAGUACGGCCCCAAGGUUAAAACUCCAAUUGGGGGGGCGGGGGGCCCUCACAACCGGUGGAGCAUGUGGUUUAAUUCGACGCAACCCCGAAAAAAC
rnacentral:rRNA from 1 species